UUUUUGUUAACCAAAAUUUUAUAUUCCCUUGCGUUUUUAAUUUCUCUGUUGCAUUUUUAAUUAUACUAUUUUGCAUUUAUUAGUGUUUGCUCCAGAAAUUUCAAUAUGUAUUAUUAAUUUAUGAUUGUCUAUUAUGGUUACUAUUGUACUACUUCCUAUAAAGUGUAAAAUCUUACAUAAGUAAAAUUCUGUUUACUUCUCUUGUCUUUUGUACAAUUAUUAUCAUAUAUAUUACAACUACAUGUGUAAUAAAACUCACAUUACAAUGUUAUUGCUUUUUAUUUAAAUAGUGAGUUGAGGCAUGCCUGGCUGGCUCAGUUGGCAGAGCACAUAAAUGUUGAUCUAAGGGUUAUAAGUUCAAGCCCCACUUUGGGUGAAGAGAUGACUUAAAAAUAAAAUAAAAUAAAUAGUGAAUGGAGUUUUUAAAAAAUAAAAUUAAGAAAAACUUACCUGCUAAUAGCCUACUAUUGAUCGGAAGCCUUGCCAAUAACAUGAAUGAUCCAUUAACACAUAUUUUGUAUGUUAAAUGUAUUAUAUACUGUAUUCUUACAAAAAGUAAGCUAGAGAAAAUAAAAUGUUAUUAAGAAAAUCACAAAAAAGAUAAUGUUACAUAAUCAUUAAUAAUAACUAUUUGUGGAGCUAGUCUUAUUUCUAAGUUUCCAUCUCAUUUCCUUGUAGAACUUCUUUUGUUAUUUCUUAUAGUGUAGGUUUGCUGGAAACACAUAUGCACAGCUAUUAUUUAUCUUUGUUUCAUCUUCAUUUUUAAGAAUAUCUGAUGGAUAUAGAAUACUGGUUUGACAGGGUACUAGAUUCCCAAUAUGAUCAUUCCUUGUGAAUAUAUUUUUAUGUUUUAGAAGAAACCCAAAAGAGUUGAUCUAAUGUCCUUGUCUGUUAUUUCCAAUAUCUGAGACACCUUGGGUUUUGUUUCUAUUGACUAUCUUUUUUCUUCUUAAUUAUGAGCCACAUUUUUUCUACUUCUUUGUGUGUCUAAUCAUUUUUUAAUUAUGUCAGAGAUUAUAGAUGAUACAUUUUAGAGAGUGCUUUAAGAAAUACUAAGUUUUGUUCUGGCUGGCAGUUAUUUAUAGGGUACUGUUCUGUUCUCUUUUUUUGUUAGUUUUAUUCUUUGUUUAGGUGAAUUUUUUCACCUAAAUUAUAAACUUAGUCCAGAGCCUAGCUCUUAUUCUAAAGUGUGAUCCUUAAUUCUAGCCUUGGCUUUUUUGGGAUCACAAUUGAAUGGCCAAGGUACUUGGCAACGUGUUUCCACUUUGGCCUGUCCAAAACACCAACAUCACUCAGUACAGGUCUGGCAUCUCUGUUCAGGUUUCAUUCCCAUAACAGGUAAUUUCUCUUAGGUUUUAUAGAGUUGUUUUCUGUGAUUUGUGGCGAAGGUCUUGGCCAAAGGCUCCCGGUUAGUUCAUUCACAAAUUUUUGGACCACCAUCCUCUGCAUUACACCCUCUUCUAAGGUAUGCUAACAUACAAAUGCCAGCCACUUUCUGCCAGUUAGAAAUCCCAUCUUUGCCUCCUGAGCUCAACAAAACCACUGUGCUCUGCUUGGAUUCCAUCUCCCCUUGUCUGGGUCCCAAAAGUUCUCUCAGGCAGAAAGCAAAAGGAAGUGCAGGGCUUGUUUUUUUUUUUUUUUCUUUCCAUUUUGAAACCAGUCCUAUACUGCCUGCUAUCCAACAUCUAAUAACAGUUGUCUGAUAAUUUUAUAGUUGUUUAUGAUAGCAGUACUCCUUCAUGACUUGAAGAGGAUAGCUUUUAUACUCAUAACAUUUAAAAGUAAAUAUCUAGUAUUCCACAGUUUAAAGCUAAGCAUUGUAUUAGCCUUCCUCCAACACAAUACAGGGAACUUAGAACACUUUAAAUGUGAUUGUAGACAUUUAAGUAUUGUAUGCUAUUAUUAUUAGAACUUUCAUUUCUUUCUUGCUUUUUGCUCUUGAAUAUAUGCAUCAUUAUUGUUAUCUAUUACUUUUACUAUUAUUGUUUUAAUCAGUAGGUAUUUGUCUAUAUUUCUUCCACGUUUCCUGUGUAUUUUAACCAUGCCAUUUCUUUUUACAUCUCAGGCUCUGGUUAUUUUAAUUUUUCAGAAACAUUGUCCUGUAAUGUUACCACACUUAAGAUCUAAUGAUUUUUAAAUAAUUCAAGCUUUGUUUUCUAAAUGUGCUUUAUUUUGCUCCACUUUUAAGAUAAACUUUUUGUUGAAGGAAUACAAAGGAAAGAACAACACAACUCUUAAAAAUACCACUCAAUGAAUUCACAAAAUUAAAACACCUUGUAAUUAAUGCCUAGACCAAGACACAAAACAUUAGCUACAAAAGCAGGAAAGUCCUGUUCAGUCACUAGCCCUCCUCACAAAGUAGUGAUUAGACUGACUUCUAAUACUAGAGGGUGAGUUUGAAUGUUUUUAUAUUCAUAUCAAUUGAAUCUUACAACAUGUAUUCUUUUGGUUCUGGUUUUUUUCAC
rnacentral:lncRNA from 1 species